rnacentral:rRNA from 1 species
CAGCAGCCACGGUAAUACGGAGGGGGCUAGCGUUGUUCGGAAUUACUGGGCGUAAAGCGUGCGUAGGCGGUUCGUUAAGUCUGUUGUGAAAGCCCCGGGCUCAACCUGGGAAUGGCAAUGGAUACUGGCGAGCUAGAGUGUGUCAGAGGAUGGUGGAAUUCCCGGUGUAGCGGUGAAAUGCGUAGAGAUCGGGAGGAACAUCAGUGGCGAAGGCGGCCAUCUGGGACAACACUGACGCUGAGGCACGAAAGCGUGGGGAGCAAACAGGAUUAGAUACCCGAGUAGUCCCUGUCUCUUAUAC